rfam:Gymnopus luxurians FD-317 M1 unplaced genomic scaffold GYMLTscaffold_18, whole genome shotgun sequence.
UCCGAUAUGGUGUAGUGGCUAACAUUAUCGCCUCUCAUUUGUCAAUCUUGACUGGUCGCGAUAGCUCGGGUUCGAUUCCCCGUGUCGGAA